rnacentral:rRNA from 1 species
UCCCGAGUAGCACGGGGCCCGAGAAAUCCUGUGUGAAUCUGCCAGGACCACCUGGUAAGCCUAAAUACUUCCUGGUGACCGAUAGUGAACAAGUACCGUGAGGGAAAGGUGAAAAGCGCCCCGGUGAGGGGUCGUGAAAUAGUACCUGAAACCGUGUGCCUACAAGCCGUAGGAGCGUAGGCAAGCUUGCUUGUCUGUGAUGUGACUGCGUGCCUUUUGAAGAAUGAGCCUGCGAGUUAUGGUGUGUGGCGAGGUUAACCCGUGUGGGGGAGCCGUAGCGAAAGCGAGUCUGAAUAGGGCGCUGGAGUCGCAUGCUGUAGACCCGAAGCGGAGUGAUCUACGCAUGGGCAGGUUGAAGCGCGGGUAAGACCGCGUGGAGGACCGAACCCACCAGGGUUGAAAACCUGGGGGAUGACCUGUGUGUAGGGGUGAAAGGCCAAUCAAACUCCGUGAUAGCUGGUUCUCCCCGAAAUGCAUUUAGGUGCAGCGUUGCGUGGUGCUUGCCGGAGGUAGGGCUCUGGUUGGCUGAUGGGCCCGACAAGGUUACUGACGUCAGCCAAACUUCGAAUGCCGGUAAGUGGAGCGUGGCAGUGAGACUGCGGGGGAUAAGCUCCGUGGUCGAGAGGGAAACAGCCCAGAUCACCGACUAAGGCCCCUAAGCGUGUGCUAAGUGGGAAAGGAUGUGGAGUCGCAGUGACAACCAGGAGGUUGGCUUAGAAGCAGCCACCCUUGAAAGAGUGCGUAAUAGCUCACUGGUCAAGUGAUUCUGCGCCGACAAUGUAGCGGGGCUCAAGUACACCGCCGAAGUCGUGGCACUACCAGCUUGCUGGUGGUGGGUAGGGGAGCGUCGUGCGAGCCGGUGAAGCUGCCGAGUGAUCGUGUGGUGGAGGUCGUACGAGUGAGAAUGCAGGCAUGAGUAGCGAGUCAGAAGUGAGAAUCUUCUGCGCCGAAUGACCAAGGGUUCCUGGGGCAGGUUCGUCCGCCCAGGGUAAGUCGGGACCUAAGGCGAGGCCGACAGGCGUAGUCGAUGGACAACGGGUUGAUAUUCCCGUACCCGCUGUGAUGCGCCCAUAUCGAAUCCGGGGAUACUAAGGGUCCUUAAGCCCUCCGGGCCUUCGGGUCUGGGGUGAGGCUGAACGCCUGGCCUGAUCUGGUAGUAGGUAAGCGAUGGGGUGACGCAGGAAGGUAGCCCAGCCCGGGCGGUGGUUGUCCCGGGGUAAGCAUGUAGGGAGAGAGAUAGGUAAAUCCGUCUCUCACAUAUCCUGAGGUGUGAUGCCGAGCCGAUUGUGGCGAAGUGGGUGAUCCUAUGCUGCCGAGAAAAGCCUCUAGUGAGUGUCGUAGCGGCCCGUACCCUAAACCGACUCAGGUGGUCAGGUAGAGAAUACCAAGGCGGUCGGGUGAACUGUGGUUAAGGAACUCGGCAAAUUGCCCCCGUAACUUCGGGAGAAGGGGGACCUUUACUGGUGAUGGAACUUGCUUCUUGAGCUGGUGGGGGUCGCAGUGGCCAGGGGGAAGCGACUGUUUACUAAAAACACAGGUCCGUGCGAAGUCGUAAGACGAUGUAUACGGACUGACGCCUGCCCGGUGCCGGAACGUUAAGGGGACCGCUUAGCCGACCUUGUGUCGGCGAAGGUGAGAACUUAAGCGCCGGUAAACGGCGGUGGUAACUAUAACCAUCCUAAGGUAGCGAAAUUCCUUGUCGGGUAAGUUCCGACCUGCACGAAUGGCGUAACGACUUCCCCGCUGUCUCAACCACAGGCCCGGUGAAAUUGCAGUACGAGUAAAGAUGCUCGUUUCGCGCAGCAGGACGGAAAGACCCCGGGACCUUCACUACAGCUUGACAUUGGCGUUUGGAGCGUCUUGUGUAGGAUAGGUGGGAGACUGGGAAGCGGUAACGCUAGUUAUCGUGGAGUCAUUGGUGAAAUACCACUCUGGUCGUUUUGGACGUCUAACCCGCGCCCGUGUAUCCGGGUGGGGGACAGUGUCUGGUGGGUAGUUUAACUGGGGCGGUUGCCUCCUAAAAGGUAACGGAGGCGCCCAAAGGUUCCCUCAGCCUGGUUGGCAAUCAGGUGUCGAGUGUAAGUGCACAAGGGAGCUUGACUGUGAGACUGACGGGUCGAGCAGGAGCGAAAGCUGGGACUAGUGAUCCGGCAUCGGCGUGUGGAAGCGGUGUCGCUCAACGGCUAAAAGGUACCCCGGGGAUAACAGGCUGAUCUUCCCCAAGAGUCCAUAUCGACGGGAUGGUUUGGCACCUCGAUGUCGGCUCGUCGCAUCCUGGGGCUGGAGUAGGUCCCAAGGGUUGGGCUGUUCGCCCAUUAAAGCGGUACGCGAGCUGGGUUUAGAACGUCGCGAGACAGUUCGGUCCCUAUCCGCUGCGCGCGCAGGAGACUUGCGAGGGGCUGUCCCUAGUACGAGAGGACCGGGACGGACGAACCUCUGGUGUGCCAGUUGUUCCGCCAGGAGCACGGCUGGUUGGCUACGUUCGGUAGGGAUAACCGCUGAAAGCAUCUAAGCGGGAAGCUCGCCUCAAGAUGAGGUCUCCCACCACGAGAGUGGGUAAGGCUCCCUAUAGACGAUGGGGUUGAUAGGCCGGAAGUGGAAGCGUAGUAAUGCGUGGAGCUGACCGGUACUAAUAGGCCGAGGACUUGACCAUAU